rnacentral:rRNA from 1 species
AACGAACGCUGGCGGCAUGCCUAACACAUGCAAGUCGAACGAGACCUUCGGGUCUAGUUGCGCACGGGUGCGUAACGCGUGGGAACCUGCCCUUAGGUUCGGAAUAACUCCCCGAAAGGGGUGCUAAUACCGGAUAAUGUCUUCGGACCAAAGAUUUAUCGCCUUUGGAUGGGCCCGCGUUGGAUUAGCUAGUUGGUAGGGUAAAAGCCUACCAAGGCGACGAUCCAUAGCUGGUCUGAGAGGAUGAUCAGCCACACUGGGACUGAGACACGGCCCAGACUCCUACGGGAGGCAGCAGUGGGGAAUAUUGGACAAUGGGCGAAAGACUGAUCCAGCAAUGCCGCGUGAGUGAUGAAGGCCUUAGGGUUGUAAAGCUCUUUUACCCGGGAUGAUAAUGACAGUACCGGGAGAAUAAGCUCCGGCUAACUCCGUG